rnacentral:misc_RNA from 1 species
CAUAUUUCUUUGCAAACUCCUUAACUAGUAAUUGUUGCCAAAAUGCCAAAUAUUUAUGUAAACUAGCUCCAGCCCAUUGUUGACAAAAACAUUUAUCUGUUGGAACUAAUGAUCUCAGAGGAAAUGGCCUCCUAGGAGCUAAUUCUCUUCUCCUGAGUGUACCUGCUUACAUCUAUCUGUCUGACCACCUUGUCUUUCAUUGAAUUUCUUUUGAGAUUUCAACCUUCUCCAGCAAUUUAAAAUUCUACAGGUUCUGCAAAUUCAUCUUGCGGGAAUAGACCUCGUGACGGGCUGGUUCCAAAUCGCCAGUUCUGGUUCACCGAGAUAUGAACAUGAAUCGAUUCCUGAGAUUGAAAUUGAAAGAAGUUAUAACAAGGAAAAAGCAAAUUCAUGUAUAUCUUACUGACAGUGCACAAUCAACAAACAGCUAACAAUUACUAGCCUGCCACUCCCGAAAAGAAGAGAAAUGAAUUUAAAAAAAAAAAGGCAAAGAGAACCCACAGA